UACGGAGGAUGCGAGCGUUAUCCGGAUUUAUUGGGUUUAAAGGGCGCGUAGGCGGACGCUUAAGUCAGCGGUAAAAUUGCGGGGCUCAACCUCGUCGGGCCGUUGAAACUGGGUGCCUUGAGUGGGCGAGAAGUACGCGGAAUGCGUGGUGUAGCGGUGAAAUGCAUAGAUAUCACGCAGAACUCCGAUUGCGAAGGCAGCGUACCGGCGCCCAACUGACGCUGAAGCACGAAGGCGUGGGUAUCGAACAGG
rnacentral:rRNA from 1 species